rnacentral:rRNA from 1 species
AGCGGCGGGCGGGUGAGUAACACGUGGGUAACCUGCCCAAGAGACUGGGAUAACACCUGGAAACAGAUGCUAAUACCGGAUAACAACACUAGACGCAUGUCUAGAGUUUGAAAGAUGGUUCUGCUAUCACUCUUGGAUGGACCUGCGGUGCAUUAGCUAGUUGGUAAGGUAACGGCCUACCAAGGCAAUGAUGCAUAGCCGAGUUGAGAGACUGAUCGGCCACAUUGGGACUGAGACACGGCCCAAACUCCUACGGGAGGCAGCAGUAGGGAAUCUUCCACAAUGGACGCAAGUCUGAUGGAGCAACGCCGCGUGAGUGAAGAAGGUUUUCGGAUCGUAAAGCUCUGUUGUUGGUGAAGAAGGAUAGAGGUAGUAACUGGCCUUUAUUUGACGGUAAUCAACCAGGAAGUCACGGCUAACUACGUGCCAGCAGCCGCGGUAAUACGUAGGUGGCAAGCGUUGUCCGGAUUUAUUGGGCGUAAAGCGAGCGCAGGCGGAAAAAUAAGUCUAAUGUGAAAGCCCUCGGCUUAACCGAGGAACUGCAUCGGAAACUGUUUUUCUUGAGUGCAGAAGAGGAGAGUGGAACUCCAUGUGUAGCGGUGGAAUGCGUAGAUAUAUGGAAGAACACCAGUGGCGAAGGCGGCUCUCUGGUCUGCAACUGACGCUGAGGCUCGAAAGCAUGGGUAGCGAACAGGAUUAGAUACCCUGGUAGUCCAUGCCAUAAACGAUGAGUGCUAAGUGU